rnacentral:rRNA from 1 species
GACGAACGCUGGCGGCGUGCUUAACACAUGCAAGUCGACCUGAAAUUCCCUGCUUUUGUGGGGUGCUCGAGUGGCGAAUGGGUGAGUAACACCUGAGUAACCUGCCCUUUACUUUGGGAUAACUUCAUGAAACUUGUGCUAAUACCGGAUAGGCGCUCCUGCUUCAUGGUUGGGUUUGGAAAGUUUCGGCGGUUGGUGAUGUACUCUCGGCUUAUCAGCUUGGUGGUGGGGUAGUGGUUUACCAAGGCUUUGACGGGUAGCCGGCCUGAGAGGGUGACCGGCCACAUAGGGAAUGAGAUAAGGCCCAGAAUACUAAGGGAGGCAGGAGGGGGGAAAAAUGCAAAAUGGGAGGAAGAGUGAUGCAGCAAAGCCGCGUGCGGGAUAACGGCCCUCGGGGUGUAAACCGCUUUCGCAUGUGACGAAGAGUGAGUGACGGUAAUGGGUAAAGAAGCAACGGCUAAAUACGUG